rnacentral:rRNA from 1 species
GACCGGCACGNGCCGGUGUUANGGUGCUCNANUGGCGAACGGCGAGUAAACGUAAGUAAUCUGCCCUGCACUUCGGGAUAAGCUUGGGAAACUGGGUCUAAUACCGGCAUAGGACCUUGCUGCGCAUGUGGUGUGGUGGAAAGCUUUUGCGGUGUGGGAUGGGCCCGCGGCCUAUCAGCUUGUUGGUGGGGUGAUGGCCUACCAAGGCGACGACGGGUAGCCGGCCUGAGAUGGUGUGCGGCCACACCGGGACUGAGAUACGGCCCAGACUCCUACGGGAGGCAGCAGUGGGGAAUAUUGCACAAUGGGCGCAAGCCUGAUGCACCGACGCCGCGUGGGGGAUGACGGCCUUCGGGUUGUAAACCUCUUUCACCAUCGGCGAAGGCCCGUUUUGCGGGUUGACGGUAGGUGGAGAAGAAGCACCGGCCAACUACGUGCCAGCAGCCGCGGUAAU